UAGGAGGCGUCGAGCGGCGGACGGGUGAGUAAUGCAUAGGAAUCUGCCCGAUAGUGGGGGAUAACCUGGGGAAACUCAGGCUAAUACCGCAUACGUCCUACGGGAGAAAGCAGGGGAUCUUCGGACCUUGCGCUAUCGGAUGAGCCUAUGUCGGAUUAGCUAGUUGGUGAGGUAACGGCUCACCAAGGCGACGAUCCGUAGCUGGUCUGAGAGGAUGAUCAGCCACACUGGGACUGAGACACGGCCCAGACUCCUACGGGAGGCAGCAGUGGGGAAUAUUGGACAAUGGGGGAAACCCUGAUCCAGCCAUGCCGCGUGUGUGAAGAAGGCCUUCGGGUUGUAAAGCACUUUCAGCGAGGAAGAAGGCCUGGGGGCUAAUACCCCUCAGGAAGGACAUCACUCGCAGAAGAAGCACCGGCUAACUCCGUGCCAGCAGCCGCGGUAAUACGGAGGGUGCGAGCGUUAAUCGGAAUUACUGGGCGUAAAGCGCGCGUAGGUGGCUUGAUAAGCCGGUUGUGAAAGCCCCGGGCUCAACCUGGGAACGGCAUCCGGAACUGUCAGGCUAGAGUGCAGGAGAGGAAGGUAGAAUUCCCGGUGUAGCGGUGAAAUGCGUAGAGAUCGGGAGGAAUACCAGUGGCGAAGGCGGCCUUCUGGACUGACACUGACACUGAGGUGCGAAAGCGUGGGUAGCAAACAGGAUUAGAUACCCUGGUAGUCCACGCCGUAAACGAUGUCGACUAGCCGUUGGGGUCCUUGAGACCUUUGGUGGCGCAGUUAACGCGAUAAGUCGACCGCCUGGGGGAGUACGGGCCGCAAGGGUUAAAACUCAAAUUGAAUUUGACGGGGGGCCCGCACCAAGCGGGGGGAAGCAUGUGGGUUUAAUUCCGAUGCAACGCCGAAGAACCUUACCUACCCUUGACAUCGUGCGAACUUUCCAGAGAUGGAUUGGUGCCUUCGGGAACGCACAGACAGGUGCUGCAUGGCUGUCGUCAGCUCGUGUUGUGAAAUGUUGGGUUAAGUCCCGUAACGAGCGCAACCCUUGUCCCUAUUUGCCAGCGAUUCGGUCGGGAACUCUAGGGAGACUGCCGGUGACAAACCGGAGGAAGGUGGGGACGACGUCAAGUCAUCAUGGCCCUUACGGGUAGGGCUACACACGUGCUACAAUGGUCGGUACAAAGGGUUGCAAUGCCGCGAGGUGGAGCUAAUCCCAUAAAGCCGGUCUCAGUCCGGAUCGGAGUCUGCAACUCGACUCCGUGAAGUCGGAAUCGCUAGUAAUCGUGAAUCAGAAUGUCACGGUGAAUACGUUCCCGGGCCUUGUACACACCGCCCGUCACACCAUGGGAGUGGACUGCACCAGA
rnacentral:rRNA from 1 species